rnacentral:rRNA from 1 species
UACGGAGGGGGCUAGCGUUGUUCGGAAUCAUUGGGCGUAAAGGGCGCGUAGGCGGCCGAUCAAGUCGGGGGUGAAAUCCCUCGGCUCAACUGAGGAAUUGCCUUCGAUACUGUUCGGCUUGAGUCCUGGAGAGGGUAGCGGAAUUCCCGGUGUAGCGGUGAAAUGCGUAGAGACCGGGAAGAACACCAGUGGCGAAGGCGACUACCUGGCCUGUUCUUGACGCUGAGGCGCGAAAGCUAGGGGAGCAAACGGG